rnacentral:misc_RNA from 1 species
UUUGAAGACGGUCAAAGGUAUAUUAAACAAGCUGACACCAGAGAAAUUCGAUAUUCUUAAGGGCCAGUUAAUCGAUGCUGGAAUUACAACAACAGAUAUUUUGAAGGAUGUUAUUACCCUUAUAUUUGACAAAGCAGUAUUGGAGCCUACCUUUUGCCCCAUGUAUGCUCAACUUUGCUUUGAUCUCAAUGAAAACCUCCCUGUGUUUCCCUCGGAAGAACCAGGUGGCAAGGAAAUCACGUUCAAGCGCAUCCUCUUGAAUAAUUGCCAAGAGGCAUUCGAAGGUGCCGAGAAUUUAAGAGCCGAAAUCCGA